CUUGGACAAAACCCUUGAGACCAUUCCAGCUAAUAUGACAAAGUUAUUGAACAUUGACAAAACAAACUUUGUCUCCCCCCCCCUCCCCCAGUUCAAUGUUGUGAACAACGCCGAAACAACUUUUGGUAAUAUACGAUGAUACAAGCUCAACAUUGAGUUGGGGGAGCGGGGGCUUAAGAAGGGCAACAUGAUUCAACAUGGAGUUUAUCAUAAAAAUAUGUGAAUUUUCUAUAGGGGGAAAAUAGUCUCAACCAGUUAUGUCCGAGAUUGUA